rnacentral:rRNA from 1 species
CGGGGGGCAGCAGUGGGGAAUUUUGGACAAUGGACGAAAGUCUGAUCCAGCAAUGCCGCGUGCAGGACGAAGGCCUUCGGGUUGUAAACUGCUUUUGUACGGAACGAAAAAGUCUUUUUUAAUAAAGAGGGCUUAUGACGGUACCGUAAGAAUAAGCACCGGCUAACUACGUGCCAGCAGCCGCGGUAAUACGUAGGGUGCGAGCGUUAAUCGGAAUUACUGGGCGUAAAGCGUCCGCAGGCGGUUCUAUAAGACAGAUGUGAAAUCCCUGGGCUCAACCUAGGAACUGCAUUUGUGACUGUAGAGCUAGAGUACGGCAGAGGGGGAUGGAAUUCCGCGUGUAGCAGUGAAAUGCGUAGAUAUGCGGAGGAACACCGAUGGCGAAGGCAAUCCCCUGGGCCUGUACUGACGCUCAUGGACGAAAGCGUGGGGAGCAAACAGGAUUAGAUACCCGAGU